rnacentral:rRNA from 1 species
CAGUAGCCACGGGAAUACGUAGGGUGCAAGCGUUAAUCGGAAUUACUGGGCGUAAAGCGUGCGCAGGCGGUUUGUUAAGACAGAUGUGAAAUCCCCGGGCUCAACCUGGGAACUGCAUUUGUGACUGGCAAGCUAGAGUAUGUCAGAGGAUGGUGGAAUUCCCGGUGUAGCGGUGAAAUGCGUAGAGAUCGGGAGGAACAUCAGUGGCGAAGGCAAUCCCCUGAACCUGUACUGACGCUCAUGCACGAAAGCGUGGGGAGCGAACAGGAUUAGAGACCCGCGUAGUCCCUGUCUCUUAUAC